UAUAUAUAUAUAUAUAGACACACACCAAUUUGCACAUGAGAGAGAAUAUUUUCCAUCAAAAGCAGUGAUAUCAUGCCUUGAUCUUUAUUAGAUAUGUUAAAUAGACAAAAAGUAUCAUGGCCAAAUGUAUGACCAUAAUGGUGAUAUUUCAAACACUGAUGAUGAUAUAUAACAAGUUUAACAUUGUGUUCGCUCGAACUUG
rnacentral:lncRNA from 1 species